rnacentral:tRNA from 1 species
GCUGAUAGGGCUGCAAUUGCAGGGUAUUGUGAUAUAAUAUUAUUUAAAGAGUUUCUUUCGUCAGUA